rnacentral:tRNA from 1 species
GGCGAGGUACUCAAGUCUGGUCCAAGAGGAUGGUCUCGAAAACCAUUGUGCUACGCACUCGAGGGUUCAAAUCCCUCUCUCGUCA